rnacentral:lncRNA from 1 species
CACAAACCUUUUUAGCUUUUUAAUAUUUUUAGCUUUGAUAAUAUGGUGGCAGAACAACCCAAACUAGUGUAGUCUUUAUUUAACAAAUGUAUUCUAAGCCCCCCUGUUGUUCUCAGGAAUGUAUAAAAUUAAGAAACCCAGAAGAUAGAUCGGAUAGUUAGGUGAACGGUGGUUGGCGAAGGAGGCUUUGGCUGGGACAGGUCCCUAAAUAGUCACUCAGCCAGAUUGUGAAGUUGAUGGACGCAGGGUCUGGGCUGGGUUUCUUGAUCGUUGAGUCCUCCAUACCUAGCAUUGUGCCUGGAGCUUCGUAGACCCCAAUAACCAUUUAUCUGAAUAACGUGAUGGAUGAAACGUCAAGAAUACCCAGCAACAUAAAUGUGGGUCUGGGGUCUUAGGAGAAUCCAGAGUUAGGGUCAGGACCUAACAUUUUCAGACCCAGAAGAAGCAGGUGAUGAUGGUGUUUGUUUUCCUGCUUCUAGUACUUUUUAGGUCAAAGCACCUCCCAGGGAACAAAGGCCAUUUGAUGGUGUUUGAAAGAAAAAGGAUAGUCUUUCAAUCUUCUCCGGCAGCUUAAAAGGACAACAUUAUAACUCCUGUAUCCCAACCUCAGUUCAUUCUUUCGUUUAUUCACUCAGUGAACAUGAAUCAAGUGCUCGUUUUUUUGUCUGGGAAUACAAAAUUAAGACAGAUCCAGUCUUAGCUCUCAAGGAACUUAGUCUGGUAGAAGCUGCAGACGUGACGCAGGAAACAGCAGUGUUGAUGUCAGCUACAGAGAAGGCAGGCCGCUGUGGAAGCCACGGGUGGCAGCCUACAUGGGCUGGAGGUCUCCCAGGAGGCAGGUUGAGUCCUGAAGGAUUGUCCCACCUGUUUACUUUAUUGCUGGCAUCUACCCAUGCCUUCUCCCCCAACCACCCAAUAAGGAAAUUAGAAAGUAAGUUCCAGUAAGUAGAUAAGUAAGCAAAAGUCUUGAAACCGACAUUACUGGCUAAGGUAACACUUGGCCUCAGAUGCAUUCACACCAAACUGCCAUCUGCCAACCAGUAAACUCAAGUGGAGAGUUCAUUCCUUCUUCCUCCCUGAGGUCAGGAGGGCGCAAAGUAGGUAUCUGGAUUGGAGAGAGUAGAGAACAGGUACAGGAAGGGAGGCUGAGGGCUGUCUAGACAAACCUUAUUGACUGCAGGAUUUUUUUGGAGGAUCAGUAUUCUACCUUUAACUCUUUGCAAACAAAUGGAACAUAUGUGAGGAGGUUCGUUUGUUUAUCCAUGUUCAUUUGUUUGUUUUUUUCUUUUUUUCCUUAGCCUCUAGCAGCU